GUAGGGAAUAUUGGGCAAUGGAUGCAAGUCUGACCCAGCCAUCCCGCGUGCCGGAAGAAGGCCCUCAGGGUUGUAAACGGCUUUUGACGGUGAAGAAUCGACAGGAUGCGUCCUGUUUUGACGGUAGCCGUUGAAUAAGCACCGGCUAACUCCGUGCCAGCAGCCGCGGUAAUACGGAGGGUGCGAGCGGUGUCCGGAUUUAUUGGGUUUAAAGGGUGCGUAGGCUGGAAGGUCAGUCAGCGGUGAAAAGCUGUCGCUUAACGAUAGUCUUGCCGCAGAUACUUCCUUUCUUGGAUGAGGAGGAGGCCACUGGAACGGAUGGUGUAGCGGUGAAAUGCAUAGAUAUCAUCCAGAACACCGAUUGCGAAGGCAGGUGGCUGUACCUUAAUCGACGCUGAUGCACGAAAGCAUGGGGAGCAAACAGGAUUAGAAACCCGGGUAGUCC
rnacentral:rRNA from 1 species